GCGAACAUAGCUCAGUUGGGAGAGCGUCAGACUGAAGAUCUGAAGGUCGUGUGUUCGAUCCACACUGGUCGCA
rnacentral:tRNA from 1 species